rnacentral:tRNA from 1 species
UCCAUGGUGGCUCAAGAGUUAAGGGUCCAGUGUUUUCACUGCUGAGGCCCAGGUUCGAUCCCUGGCCCAGGAA